AUGCCCCCCUCUGCCGCGGACCUGUUGCGCUCCCCGCCUCAGCAGGCGGCGAACCCCCCACCACCUCGGCUGCGCUCCCUCAUCGUAGCCCCACCACCACCACCGCAGGGCGUCCCGGCGCCAGAUCUGGGUGCGACGCCAUGGCAGCAGGUCCAGGGCCGGAAGGAGCGUCGGGUGGAUGGCUGUCGCCCAAGGUCGUCGGGCCUACUCUCCUCCCGCCCACCGCGCUAUGCUCUUCUCGCAUCGCUCCAUGGAUGCUGCUACAACUGCGGCGAGGACGACGGGCACAUCUUGCGGCACUGGACCAACCCAACCAAGUGCGUCCGAUGCAGGGGGGCGCAGCCACACCUCCCGCGGCUGCACCCGUCCACGGAGCCCCUCUGA
rnacentral:rRNA from 1 species